rnacentral:rRNA from 1 species
GGUUCAGGAUGAACGCUAGCUACAGGCUUAACACAUGCAAGUCGAGGGGCAGCAUUAAGUUAGCUUGCUAACUUAGAUGGCGACCGGCGCACGGGUGAGUAACGCGUAUCCAACCUUCCCCCUGCUCAGGGAUAGCCCGCUGAAAGGCGGAUUAACACCUGAUAGCUUCACUAGAUGGCAUCUGACGGUGAAUAAAGAUAACGGCAAGGGAUGGGGAUGCGUCUGAUUAGCUUGUUGGCGGGGUAACGGCCCACCAAGGCAACGAUCAGUAGGGGUUCUGAGAGGAAGGUCCCCCACAUUGGAACUGAGACACGGUCCAAACUCCUACGGGAGGCAGCAGUGAGGAAUAUUGGUCAAUGGGCGGAAGCCUGAACCAGCCAAGUAAGCGUGCAGGAUGACGGCCCUAUGGGUUGUAAACUGCUUUUGUACGGGAAUAAAGUGACCCACGUGUGGGUUUUUGCAUGUACCGUAAGAAUAAGGACCGGCUAAUUCCGUGCCAGCCGCCGC